rnacentral:rRNA from 1 species
GAACUUUAUCUGGCUAUGAGUAGUAUUUGUGGCGUGACUAAUACAUGCAAGUCGAACGCUUCUUUCCUCCCGAGUGCUUGCACUCAAUUGGAAAGAGGAGUGGCGGACGGGUGAGUAACACGUGGGUAACCUACCCAUCAGAGGGGGAUAACACUUGGAAACAGGUGCUAAUACCGCAUAACAGUUUAUGCCGCAUGGCAUAAGAGUGAAAGGCGCUUUCGGGUGUCGCUGAUGGAUGGACCCGCGGUGCAUUAGCUAGUUGGUGAGGUAACGGCUCACCAAGGCCACGAUGCAUAGCCGACCUGAGAGGGUGAUCGGCCACACUGGGACUGAGACACGGCCCAGACUCCUACGGGAGGCAGCAGUAGGGAAUCUUCGGCAAUGGACGAAAGUCUGACCGAGCAACGCCGCGUGAGUGAAGAAGGUUUUCGGAUCGUAAAACUCUGUUGUUAGAGAAGAACAAGGACGUUAGUAACUGAACGUCCCCUGACGGUAUCUAACCAGAAAGCCACGGCUAACUACGUGCCAGCCGCCGCGGUAAUUA